rnacentral:rRNA from 1 species
AUUGAACGCUGGCGGCAGGCCUAACACAUGCAAGUCGAACGGUAACAGGAAGCAGCUUGCUGCUUUGCUGACGAGUGGCGGACGGGUGAGUAAUGUCUGGGAAACUGCCUGAUGGAGGGGGAUAACUACUGGAAACGGUAGCUAAUACCUCAUAACGUCGCAAGACCAAAGAGGGGGACCUUCCGGCCUCUUGCCAUCGGAUGUGCCCAGAUGGGAUUAGCUAGUAGGUGGGGUAACGGCUCACCUAGGCGACGAUCCCUAGCUGGUCUGAGAGGAUGACCAGCCACACUGGAACUGAGACACGGUCCAGACUCCUACGGGAGGCAGCAGUGGGGAAUAUUGCACAAUGGGCGCAAGCCUGAUGCAGCCAUGCCGCGUGUAUGAAGAAGGCCUUCGGGUUGUAAAGUACUUUCAGCGGGGAGGAAGGGAGUAAAGUUAAUACCUUUGCUCAUUGACGUUACCCGCAGAAGAAGCACCGGCUAACUCCGUG